rnacentral:rRNA from 1 species
GAUGAACGCUGGCGGCGUGCCUAAUACAUGCAAGUCGAGCGAACGGACGAGAAGCUUGCUUCUCUGAUGUUAGCGGCGGACAGGUGAGUAACACGUGGAUAACCCACCUAUAAGACUGGGAUAACUUCGGGAAACCGGAGCUAAUACCGGAUAAUAUUUUGAACCGCAUGGUUCAAAAGUGAAAGACGGUCUUGCUGUCACUUAUAGAUGGAUCCGCGCUGCAUUAGCUAGUUGGUAAGGUAACGGCUUACCAAGGCAACGAUGCAUAGCCGACCUGAGAGGGUGAUCGGCCACACUGGAACUGAGACACGGUCCAGACUCCUACGGGAGGCAGCAGUAGGGAAUCUUCCGCAAUGGGCGAAAGCCUGACGGAGCAACGCCGCGUGAGUGAUGAAGGUCUUCGGAUCGUAAAACUCUGUUAUUAGGGAAGAACAUAUGUGUAAGUAACUGUGCACAUCUUGACGGUACCUAAUCAGAAAGCCACGGCUAACUACGUG